GAAGCAAAAAGGAUGGAUGCAAUAGCAAGUUUCAUUUUUCUUUUUUCUUUCUUCUUUUUCUUUGUUUUGCUUU
rnacentral:ribozyme from 14 species